ACAUUUCACCCGAAAUUAAAUUUGAGAAAAAAGCACUCCAUUCACCGGAAAUUAUAAACUACGGAGAUGAUUCAAAGCUAAAGUACCUUCCACUUACAAAGUGGACACUGAAGCAAUUCGAGAAGCAGAAUUCUCAAUUCUUUCACUACUGCCCGAGUGCCAAGUGCUAUUUCCAAAAUCGACACAAAUUUCAUUGGAAACCUUAAAUCGAACCCAAAGACUUUUUGAAUUGUUUGAAGACAAAAACAUCAGUUCUUAUGAAGCUGACAGAUUAUUAAAACAGCUAAUGUUUGAAUCAAUGAAUUUAUCAUCAGUGGACCCUUCGGGUCGCCUAGUUAAGGUAUCCAGUGAAGGAUUUAAAAGAACAUUUUUUUGGGACGAUAUUUUUACAAACUUAAAGAAUCAAAACUCAAGACAAAGUUCAAAGAAUUCAAUCGUGAAGUUUGUGACCAGUUUGAGCGGAGAGGAAGAAACUGAUUUAGUAGAGAAGUACAGAAAACGAAACCUCAGUUCACAUUGCUGUAGUGAG